rnacentral:misc_RNA from 1 species
ACCUUUCAAAUCAGGGUGCGGCGCGGCCCCCGAGGAGCGGAAACAAUCCUUGGGAGGUAUGCGGGGGCUUCGAGCCCCCCAUUUACGCACGCACGAUUGCCAUCCUUACUUUACGAGCACCUUCUGUUCUCCCUCGGCGGGGCAACCUGCCGUUGGUACCGAAUAAACUCUUUUUGCAUCUAGCAUUACCUGUUCCGAAACAAACAAUCGUUA